AGUGCUUACAUUCAGUUUGGCCAAAAAUAAAAUAUUUUUUCGUAGUGGAAAACUGACCAGUUUCUUGUGUUCAGGAACACACAGCAUUGUACUGGAGCACUUACGAACCAGCCCUCAGCUGGAACUGUGGGGUCACACGUCAUUCAGAUUUAAUCGCAGACUGAUGCACAGUAAGAGUGAGGAAGUCACGCCCGCCCCUGCAUGCAGCCCAGCGUCCCACCACUCACAGCGCGUCUGUCCGGCUGACCGUCCUCACACUCCUGCUCAUCUCCUGCUCAUCUCCCAGUCUUGCUCCUCUGCACAAGACUGUGCCUGACUUGUGCACCUUGGCCUUCCAUACUUACCUCUGAGUAGACUGAAUAAAUAUUCCUAGAAUCGAAAUGGAA